GAUGAACGCUGGCGGCGUGCCUAAUACAUGCAAGUCGAGCGAAUGGAUUAAGAGCUUGCUCUUAUGAAGUUAGCGGCGGACGGGUGAGUAACACGUGGGUAACCUGCCCAUAAGACUGGGAUAACUCCGGGAAACCGGGGCUAAUACCGGAUAACAUUUUGAACCGCAUGGUUCGAAAUUGAAAGGCGGCUUAGGCUGUCACUUAUGGAUGGACCCGCGUCGCAUUAGCUAGUUGGUGAGGUAACGGCUCACCAAGGCAACGAUGCGUAGCCGACCUAGGAGGGUGAUCGGCCACACUGGGACUGAGACACGGCCCAGACUCCUACGGGAGGCAGCAGUAGGGAAUCUUCCGCAAUGGACGAAAGUCUGACGGAGCAACGCCGCGUGAGUGAUGAAGGCUUUCGGGUCGUAAAACUCUGUUGUUAGGGAAGAACAAGUGCUAGUUGAAUAAGCUGGCACCUUGACGGUACCUAACCAGAAAGCCACGGCUAUCUACGUGCCAGCCGCCGCAAGAC
rnacentral:rRNA from 1 species